CUACAUGUCGUUUAUUUUUCAGGUUGCGUGCUGAACUUGUUUGUGUCUUAUAAGGUCUGUAUGGAGAUGUCUCUGUAGCUCUGUCGUGCCCCCCCAGCCCCCGACAGACUCAACUAGACGUAAGGAAGAAUCAUCUAUUCUUUUUAACGGUUUUAUUUGAACUGCUUCGAUAAAUUAAGAAAUAACUCCAAACCUAGGUUUCUAUUUUUAUGUUUCCUGAUUUACUUUUUAAAAUAAAAUCAUGCGAGGAGGCAGAAAUCAAAUCUUUUGUUUCCCUUUCUGACCAAUCAAUUUUAAUCCAGUUUAUAAACCAAUUGUUUUACCUCGAGCGUUAAUUUAAAUUGUAGGGCAAACCAUGAUCUGAUUGGCUGCUGGCUCGUCGUGAUUGGUUGGUGGCAGGAAGCUUGGCUCCUGAAGACUCUACUGUGAUUGGUCGGUUUCUUGUCAUGUGACUUCAUUGUCAGCCAGCCAUGUGACCUGUUGUCACAGAAACAGAUCUGUGAUCUGAAGAUAUUGAUUUCUGACUAUUGACUCAUCUCGACAAACUGUCUUUCAACCAAAAUGUCAUGGUCUUCAUCUGGGCGGGGUGUGCUCGGUUGUCAUGGAGAUGCCGUAGUCGUUAAUUAUGGGAUGUCAUUUGUGCUUUUUGUUGGACUAAAAAAAAAAGUUGAGAAAAUAAACAGACUAAUCAAUAAGUAAAGACACACAUGUCUCUUCCUGCCGUGAUGGCCCGUUGCCACGGUAACCCUCCUGUUUGUUUUUAGUUGACUGGUGGAGCUGAUAGUCAUUUUUGUAUUUUAAUAAGAGAAGAUGGUGUGUGUGUGUACGUGCAUGCACGGCCGCCUGUCCCUUUUGUUGGUGCUGAGCCCCUCCCACUCCGUCAGGUGGAGAAGGAACUCCACCUGACGGAGGGGAGGCGCAGCGACACAGCUGGGACAAACGCCCCCGCCCCCCCAACCAAGUGAAUUAUUUGAUGUAAUUACUGAUAUUGGAUUGUUAUUUUCUGAGUUCCUUUGUUUUCAUAAAUAAAGACAUAAACUGAAGC
ensembl:lncRNA